CGGAGGAUCCAAGCGUUAUCCGGAAUCAUUGGGUUUAAAGGGUCCGUAGGCGGGUUUAUAAGUCAGUGGUGAAAGCCCAUCGCUCAACGAUGGAACGGCCAUUGAUACUGUAGAUCUUGAAUUAUUAGGAAGUAACUAGAAUAUGUAGUGUAGCGGUGAAAUGCUCAGAGAUUACAUGGGAUACCAAUUGCGAAGGCAGGUUACUACUAAUGGAUUGACGCUGAUGGACGAAAGCGUGGGUAGCGAACAGGAUUAGAUACCCUGGUAGUCCACGCCGUAAACGAUGGAUACUAGCUGUUCGGAGCAAUCUGAGUGGCUAAGCGAAAGUGAUAAGUAUCCCACCUGGGGAGUACGUUCGCAAGAAUG
rnacentral:rRNA from 1 species